rnacentral:rRNA from 1 species
UACGUAGGGGGCAAGCGUUGUCCGGAUUUAUUGGGCGUAAAGAGCGUGUAGGCGGCUAGGUAGGUCCGUUGUGAAAACUCGAGGCUCAACCUCGAGACGCCGAUGGAAACCAUCUGGCUAGAGUCCGGAAGAGGAGAGUGGAAUUCCUGGUGUAGCGGUGAAAUGCGCAGAUAUCAGGAAGGACACCCGUGGCUAAGGCGGCUCUCUAGUACGGUACUGACGCUGAGACGCGAAAGCGUGGGGAGCGAACAGG